rnacentral:rRNA from 1 species
UUGAAAGGGAAACGAUUGAAGUCAGUCGUACCGACGAGAAAUCAACUUAUCGUGUGCGAACCUGUGGACGUGCGUGAGUUUCGGCCUCGCUGUUUGCAUGUUUGUGCGCUUUGGGUGUACUUUUUCGUAUGGUAGGCCAACGUCAGUUUCGAUUAUCAUAAAAUGACCGGCGGAAUGUAGCUUCGACUUCGGUUGAAGUGUUAUAGCCUCUGGUAGAUGUGGUGAUUGGGACUGAGGAUUGCAACGAAUACCCUUUGGGCUAUCCGUCUGACCUCUGAAAGUUGCUCAGGUGCCGAAAGCGUGCUUACGGUCAUCUAAGAUAACGUUCAACAGGCUAGAACGUGAUUACAUUCGUUAAGGAUGUUGACGUA